CUUCAGAGUUUCAAUUGGGAGGGCAAGUCUGGUGCCAGCAGCCGCGGUAAUUCCAGCUCCAAUAGCGUAUAUUAAAAUUGUUGCAGUUAAAAAGCUCGUAGUUGAAUUUCUGCUGCAUUGCUUUUGCUCCUUUACGAGUCUUUGCAUUGUGGCUUAUUUCGGACUUUGUUUUACAAUGUCCGGAUGUUUACUUUGAGAAAAUUAUAGUGC
rnacentral:rRNA from 1 species